UGUGGGGAUUGUGCUGGUGAUGGCUGCUUGCUUUGUUGCUUGGGACCUCCCCCAGCCUAGAACCCCAGGUUUCACUUGAACUAUGAGGCUGGUGACAGGAAUGGCUGUUCUCCUAACUUUGGGUAUCACAGGUGAUGCUAAAACCACACAGCCAAAUUCAAUGGAGAGUACUGAAGGAAAACCUGUAAACUUGCCUUGUAACCACUCCACAAUCGGUGGAAGUGAGUAUAUAUAUUGGUAUCGACAGACUCCCCAUCAGGGUCCAGAGUAUGUGAUUCAUGGCAUGAAUAACAAUGUGACCAACGAAAUGGCCUCUCUGACCAUCCCUACUGGCAGAAAGUCCAGUACCCUGAUCCUGCCCCACGUUACUCUGAGAGACACAGCUGUGUACUACUGCAUGGUGAGAGACACACAGUGGCUCUGAUGGGGCUACACCUGUGCAGUAUCUUCCUGGUGGGGGAAGGGAAGCAGUAGGCUUCAUCUAAGAAACUACUGCACAAGAAUGACAGAAGCUCAACAGAAGAAGAAAAGUAAAGGAUAAAAAAGGAAAAGAAAGAAGACAGAGAGAGGAAAUCAAGGAGAAGGAGAAGAUAAAAGGGAUGAAAAGGGUGAGGAAGAGAGCUUUCAUUUUUGAAGGGACUAGAAGCUUGAGAAGAGACUAAGAAUAGCAAUUGUAAUCCUGCAAUAAAAGAAAAGGAAAUGAGAAUGUGUCAAGACUCUUUCUUUUAAUCGAAUGUUGCUGUUUGUGUUGUUGUUAAGCGCUGUCAAGACAGUUCUAACUCAU